UCUGAUUGUUGGUGUUCGACUGCGUACUACAGUCUCAGAUAGCAAAUGUGCCUGUGCAUCACCCCACAGAAAGGCAGCAGCUUGACUGACCCAGUGCCAAAAAAAAAUAUGGUCGCAGAUAAAGGGCCCAGAUUGUGGGUGGAAGCUAGAAAGAUCGUGGAAGCAGUCAAAAAAAUUAAGGCUGGAGGAAGCUGUGAGAAGAUCAUCAGGAACAAAAAAAUUUGCAUCCUUCAGUAGAAGGAACCACGGAAUUUAAACCACUAGAAAUGGCACCUGGAUUCCAAAUUGGGAAUAGAUUCUUUUAAUGACUGUUUUUGUCAAAAAGAUGAUAAAAAUCAGGAAAAAAAACAAGAAACUAUUCCCUGGGAUGCAGAGCUCAAGUGUGUCUUACUGAACUACAAUAAAGAGAAAUGAGUUCUUUGCAAUUUAA